rnacentral:rRNA from 1 species
GACGUAGGGGGCAAGCGUUGUCCGGAAUCAUUGGGCGUAAAGCGCUCGUAGGUGGAUCGGUAAGUCUGCAAAGAAAGACCCGGGCUCAACUCGGGGAACGGUGUGGAUACUACCGAUCUUGAGGCAAUCAGAGGAUGAUGGAAUUCCCGGUGUAGCGGUGAAAUUCGUAGAUAUUUGGAGGAAUACCUGUGGCGAAGGCGGCCUUCUGGACCGGUCCUGACGCUGAGACGCGAAAGCGUGGGGAGCAAACAGG